GAAAGCCAGCGCAAACAAGCUAGCAAGCUACGGAGUUUGCCGCCGAUGUAUUUCUUGUAAAGUGUAUAAAAACGAAUAUUGAAGCUGGACAAAUAAGAUGCCAAAAACCAACCACUUUCAUGUGCUAUUGGACAGAAAAGAACAACUUUUUUUCUCCUCCAUUUGAAAACGUGGACGUCUGAUUCCAAUCAAUGCAAGUCAUCAGAAUCAGGUGAUGGCGGGAGAUGAAGCGUUGCAAACACACGGGAGUACAACUUUGGAGUUGGACUCAGCAAACACCUGCUGUACUUCAUGGCGACCCUCUAGGACAACAAUGAGAAAUUCUAAAUAUAUCCAUUUUCUACCGCUUGUCCCUUUCAGGGUUCAGCUGCACAUGGGCACCAUGGACAACGUCAUUUAAAAGAAUUAAAAUGUAAAUUACCUGUCAUAGACCAUGAUAUCAAGCCGAAUACUAAACAUUCCACCAGCAUUUCUUCUCGACUGAAGGCAAAAUGUAUUUGGUGACGUCGAGUGAUGAAAUGUGUAAUAUAUGCCGACAAACGGGGGCGGAGUCUUUGGUUGUUGCUCAUCUGCUGUGUGUGUCAGCUUGGAAACUGCAAGCGAGGAGGAGACCCGGCCACAUCCUCCCACGGAUUCUCUCUCUCGUUCUCUCCACCGUGUCUACGUAAAGACCACUAACAAAAAGUGCAAAAUAUUGCAAAAUAGAGUAAAAUUUUCACACCUGAAGUGAAAUGGUUAAUGCGCAUCAGCGUCGAUGCCGGUCAGUCGUCUUUCACACCUGUUCUGACGUCAUCACCAGUAAACGCCGCAUAAAAGCAUGCAUGCAUCUUGUAGAAACUGUUAAAAAAAUUGUGUAAAUUGUGUGUGAAUUAUCAGAAAACUUUCAGAUUUCUUUUACUUAAUUGAGUAGUUGAGAGCUGUCCUUUUUCAACCAAGCAAAGUCUUGGGGCAUUCCGCUGUGUACGUUGGAAUGCGACGAGAGGGGUUUUCUUUUGUCCUCAAAGACCCACCGAAGCUAAAACCAGGACGAGCCCAAGCCCGAAGCAUCAUCUUUCUUUUGUCUUCAAUGUGACCAAAAACAAUGACUGUUUAUAUACUCCCCAUUCCUGUUUUGCCAAAGCUGAGACCAGGACGAGCCCGGACCCGAGGCAUCGUCUUCUUUUGUCUUCAAUGUGACCAAAAACAAUGACUGUUUAUAUACUCCCCAUUCCUGUUUUGCCAAAGCUGAAACCAGGACGAGCCCAAGCCCGAAGCAUCAUCUUUCUUUUGUCUUCAAUGUGACCAAAAACAACAACUGUUUAUAUACUCCCCAUUCCUGUUUUGCCGAAGCUGAGACCAGGACGAGCCCGGACCCAGGGCAUCCUCUCCUUUUGUCUUCAAUGUGACCAAAAACAAUGACUGUUUAUAUACUCCCCAUUCCUGUUUUGCCGAAGCUGAGACCAGGACGAGCCCGGACCUGAGGCAUCGUCUUCUUUUGUCUUCAAUGUGACCAAAAACAACGACUGUUUAUAUACUCCCCAUUCCUGUUUUGCCGAAGCUGAGACCAGGACGAGCCCGGACCCGAGGCAUCGUCUUCUUUUGUCUUCAAUGUGACCAAAAACAACGACUGUUUAUAUACUCCCCAUUCCUGUUUUGCCGAAGCUGAGACCAGGACGAGCCCAAGCCCGAGGCAUCCUCUCCUUUUGUCUUCAAUGUGACCAAAAACAAUGACUGUUUAUAUACUCCCCAUUCCUGUUUUGCCGAAGCUGAGACCAGGACGAGCCCGGACCCGAGGCAUCGUCUUCUUUUGUCUUCAAUGUGACCAAAAACAACAACUGUUUAUAUACUCCCCAUUCCUGUUUUGCCGAAGCUGAGACCAGGACGAGCCCGGACCCGAGGCAUCGUCUUCUUUUGUCUUCAAUGUGACCGAAAACAGUGACCGUGUGUAUACUCCCCAUUCCUGUUUUGACAUGUGUUGUUGCGUAAACAUUGACUACCUAAAUAAAAGAGGAGACGAAAACAUUUUCGCCAGAGCUUGGUGCAGGAACUGUGCAAGGUGUACAGAGGCCAUGUCUCUCCUCAGAUCUGAGUCCAAAUUGAA